CCUACGGGGGGCUGCAGUGGGGAAUAUUGGACAAUGGGGGGAACCCUGAUCCAGCCAUGCCGCGUGUGUGAAGAAGGCCCUCGGGUUGUAAAGCACUUUCAGUGAGGAAGAACGCCUGGUGGUUAAUACCCAUCAGGAAAGACAUCACUCACAGAAGAAGCACCGGCUAACUCCGUGCCAGUAGCCGCGGUAAUACGGAGGGUGCGAGCGUUAAUCGGAAUUACUGGGCGUAAAGCGCGCGUAGGUGGCUUGAUAAGCCGGUUGUGAAAGCCCCGGGCUCAACCUGGGAACGGCAUCCGGAACUGUCAAGCUAGAGUGCAGGAGAGGAAGGUAGAAUUCCCGGUGUAGCGGUGAAAUGCGUAGAGAUCGGGAGGAAUACCAGUGGCGAAGGCGGCCUUCUGGACUGACACUGACACUGAGGUGCGAAAGCGUGGGUAGCAAACAGGAUUAGAUACCCCAGUAGUC
rnacentral:rRNA from 1 species